CACACUUGCAUCGGUUCCUGUGAUAAAACAACCCUAGGGUCCUCGGUGGGCCAAAAAAUCACGAAAAAUCGAGACUUACCGGCGGCGGUGCUCUCGGGUGCGGCGGCUCCUCUAGCGUUAGUCGUAUUUUGAUGUUUGGCUCCGAUCAACCUGUAGAGAAAAUAACAGUGAUCACAGUGGUAUAAAAUUUGCAUCGAACAGAGGCUGGGAA
rnacentral:lncRNA from 1 species